GGAAAGGUCUGUAGCUCAGAGGAAGAGCCUCUGCCUUGCAAGCAGAAGGUCCCAUGUUCAAAUCCUGGGAUCUCCA